GACUCUCGGCAACGGAUAUCUCAGCUCUCGCAUCGAUGAAGAACGUAGCGAAAUGCGAUACUUGGUGUGAAUUGCAGAAUCCCGUGAACCAUCGAGUCUUUGAACACAAUGCCGAGCUCCUGUCGAGGCACGUCUGCCAGGUGUCA
rnacentral:rRNA from 1 species